GAUGAACGCUGGCGGCGUGCCUAACACAUGCAAGUCGAACGGGGUUACACGAGUAGCAAUACUUGUGCAACCUAGUGGCGGACGGGUGAGUAACGCGUGAGCAACCUACCUUCCAGAGGGGGAUAACACAGGGAAACCUGUGCUAAUACCGCAUAAAGUACAGUGGGGGCAUCCCUGCAGUACCAAAGGAGCAAUCCGCUGGGAGAUGGGCUCGCGUCCGAUUAGGUAGUUGGUGGGUAACGGCUCACCAAGCCGACGAUCGGUAGCCGGACUGAGAGGUUGGCCGGCCACAUUGGGACUGAGACACGGCCCAGACUCCUACGGGAGGCAGCAGUGGGGAAUAUUGGGCAAUGGGCGAAAGCCUGACCCAGCCAUGCCGCGUGAAGGAAGACGGCCUUAUGGGUUGUAAACUUCUUUACUACGCGAAUAGAGGUUAGUACGAGAUACUAAUAGGAAGGUAGUGUAGUAAAAAGCACCGGCUAACUCCGUG
rnacentral:rRNA from 1 species